rnacentral:rRNA from 1 species
UACGGAGGGGGCUAGCGUUGUUCGGAAUUACUGGGCGUAAAGCGCACGUAGGCGGUAUUGCAAGUCGGAUGUGAAAUCCCUCGGCUUAACCAAGGAAGUGCAUCCGAAACUGCCGUACUUGAGUACUUAAGAGGAUCGCGGAAUUCCCGGUGUAGAGGUGAAAUUCGUAGAUAUCGGGAGGAACACCAGUGGCGAAGGCGGCGAUCUGGGAAGAUACUGACGCUGAGGUGCGAAAGCGUGGGGAGCGAUCCGG